rnacentral:sRNA from 1 species
GGUAAAUUGACUUCCUUGGGCCCACUGUCACUAUCUCUUAGCUAAAUUUUGAGAUGGAGCAGAAAAUGAAAUGUCCUCAUUGUAAGGGUCAGCUGGAGUCUGGUUUCGGCUCCCAAUCCUGUAAAACAUGUGCUUUAACAUUCAGCUCUGAGCCUUCCACAUCAGAAGUCCACAGAGAUCAGGAAAGAAAGGAGAGGCUAUCCAAAUUUGAAUCUAUUCGUCAUUCAAUUGCUGGAAUAAUUAGGUCUCCAAAAUCUGCACUGGGCUCUUCAGCACUUUCUGAUAUGAUCUCCAUCAGUGAGAAGCCUUUGGCAGAACAGGACUGGUACCAUGGUGCAAUUCCCAGAAUAGAAGCUCAAGAACUGUUAAAAAAACAAGGAGACUUUUUGGUGCGAGAGAGUCAUGGGAAACCUGGUGAAUAUGUCCUUUCUGUAUAUUCUGAUGGACAGAGGAGACAUUUUAUCAUACAAUAUGUUGAUAACAUGUAUCGAUUCGAGGGCACUGGGUUUUCAAACAUUCCUCAACUUAUAGAUCAUCACUAUACAACAAAACAGGUCAUCACUAAGAAGUCAGGUGUAGUUCUGCUGAAUCCUAUUCCUAAGGACAAGAAAUGGAUUCUCAGUCAUGAAGAUGUCACAUUGGGAGAAUUACUGGGCAAGGGAAAUUUUGGUGAAGUAUAUAAGGGCACGUUAAAGGAUAAAACUUCUGUUGCUGUUAAAACAUGUAAAGAAGAUCUUCCUCAGGAAUUGAAAAUAAAAUUUUUACAAGAAGCCAAGUGAGUUAUUUAAAGUAAUCAAAAUAUAUAU